rnacentral:rRNA from 1 species
GACGAACGCUGGCGGCGUGCCUAAUACAUGCAAGUAGAACGCUGAAGGAGGAGCUUGCUUCUCUGGAUGAGUUGCGAACGGGUGAGUAACGCGUAGGUAACCUGCCUGGUAGCGGGGGAUAACUAUUGGAAACGAUAGCUAAUACCGCAUAAUAGCAGUUGUUGCAUGAUAACUGUUUGAAAGGUGCAAUUGCACCACUACCAGAUGGACCUGCGUUGUAUUAGCUAGUUGGUGGGGUAACGGCUCACCAAGGCGACGAUACAUAGCCGACCUGAGAGGGUGAUCGGCCACACUGGGACUGAGACACGGCCCAGACUCCUACGGGAGGCAGCAGUAGGGAAUCUUCGGCAAUGGACGGAAGUCUGACCGAGCAACGCCGCGUGAGUGAAGAAGGUUGUCGGAUCGUAAAGCUCUGUUGUAAGAGAAGAACGAGGGUGAGAGUGGAAAGUUCACACUGUGACGGUAUCUUACCAGAAAGGGACGGCUAACUACGUG